GUUCCAAGUUUGAUUCUAAUCAACUCCUUCUUCAUGAGAUGCUAACUAACUUCUGAUCCAAACCCUGGAGUCUGGAGCCAUGUGUGGACUGGUUUCUGUCUGGAUCACUCAGCCAUCCAAGAAAGGGUCACUGUGGCAAAAUAAACAUCGGAUUGCUCUGAUUGCCUUGGAACAAUCAGGGCUCACCCCUAGAGCUGGAGAGAGGAUGACAAAACUCAAAUCACAUUGCAGCUACACAAUAAAGGAAGGACGGGAUGGACGCUGCGGUGGCCAACACAAUCUCCACUAUAACUCGGUUAUAGCCAUCAUUUCACAGCAUCUGGGUCACUGAGGUGGAUCGUAUGAGAGAGGAAGACUGGGUCUGAGAAAAUUGAACACAACGCCUGGAAGACUGCAUCAGAAGUGGUGACUUGUACCAAGUUCCUAGCUGAUUAAACCCCUCGAUAAGAUUGGAGCAAAGAUGA